rnacentral:misc_RNA from 1 species
AAGUAUGCAAUCUUGAAGAGCCAGAAAUAGGUCCAUUCGGAGGAGAGGAGAUUGUUUAGUUUCUUGUUUCUUGGAGAGCCAGCGCUUGUAUGAUCUAACUGUAUUUCGUCAUCGAUGAUAUUGGAGAAGAUGAGUUCGGAUAUCUGGAUGUGAGCUAGGAAGAUGAAAGAUAGAGGAAGAAUCAGGCUAAGAGUUAUCUGGCUGAAGAUCCUCCUCCAUGUGAAGAUGAUCUUGUAGGAUUCUUUGUAGAUGUCGAAAAUUCCAAGAAACUGCAUCUCUUCUUGUUCUCUAUCCAUGGCUAGAUGGUCAGUUUCUUGAAUGAUUUUCUUGGGAAAGGAGGAGGGUUGGGGGAGAAGGAAGAAUUGAACAGAUAAGAGGAUAGAAAAUGGUUAAGGACGAUGGACAAGAAGAUUGGACGGAAACUGCUAUAGAAAAC